UGGUGAUCGCGGUCACCUCCUUCUCUUUGGCGAGAGUCACAGUCAUCCUUCACGCUCCUGACGGCACACGCACCUGCAACUGGACAGAGCCUUGAUCCCCAGGACGACAGAGCUGAGGGCGACGCAGAGCUCCAGGGCCGACAGGACGAUCAACACGCCAUUGAUGCCUCUCAAGACCAUCUGGUGCUCGGACACACUGCAGCAAGCUGGGCUGUAACAGAGGGACUUCAGGAUUUGGCACAGUGGCGGACAGGGACUUUGGGGGUCAAAG